CAAAUGGUUUUCUUUAACCGCAACCCCUUGUUGGAAUUCAAAACCACCAAAAUAAAAUUAUAAAAAUUGU
rfam:Gossypium raimondii Chr05_contig_944, whole genome shotgun sequence.